rnacentral:ribozyme from 1 species
CGGGGACGAGGAAAGCCCACCUUGCCGUGGUGUCCCCGCCCGGCUGACCUUCGGUCGGCCGCUAAGAGGCUU